ACUCCAAACAGAGGAGUAGCAAAAUGGGAGGAAGGUGCUGUGACUAAAUGAAGGAAGGCUGAGGGGUUAAAAUCAUUGCUGGGUGAUUUCACCACUACUGCCCCAUAUUCAUACUCUCGGUAAAUGAAUGAGGAGAGCCCCAUGUGGGAUUACAAACUUGCUGGAAAUGGAUGAGAAACCUUCUGCUCUGCUGGAGUUUAUCUUGAGUGUGCCUUAAAAUUCCAUUUCAUGGAGAACUGUGCGUGGUUGAAUUUUGAUUGAUUACUCAAUUAACUGAUGUAUUGGUAGAGUGAUUAAGAAAGAAGACUUUGGGAUCAGACCAACCUGGUUUUGAAUUCAAGCUCAGCAACUUACUAGGUAAGGAGGAGAAAAGAAAGAAGGAAAAAUUGGAAAGAUAAAUGGGGUCUUUCCAGUGAAGAUGUGAUGGACAGGUAGUGAUGGAUGUUCGGUACAAGAUACCCAAAAAGAAGUUGUUCAAGUAACAAGGCUCAAUUUUCCUACAUAAUUAAGAGUUUGGAAUUCGGGCAAUAUCAAGAACCACAUCUGUCCUGAAAUCAAUUAUCUCUGUUUGGAAUAUGGAUAUGAGAGAUCACUUUGCUGUGCUGUAAAUGAUCGAUUAAAAUACAUAUUUCUAAACACAAGAAAUAAGAAGACCAUUUUGAGAAGAACAGAGAGUAGCCUUAAGAAAAUCCCUGUCGCAAGCACUCUGGGAUUUGGACUCAAAUGCUAAUUAUACAGAACCACUUGGGUGCCCAGCUGCUGUCCAUUCUCUACACUUAUCCCACCUGAUGGAAGGCUGUUAAGAAAAACAUCACUGCAAUGCCUAAUAAACAGACAUGGGUCCCAGACCCAAUAAGAGUGAAACCAUCCCCCUAUUUAAAUGAAAUUAUGGCUGAUGAGAAAGACAAAUUAAUUUCUCUGUCCCUAGUAUUACACAAAACUUUGGAUGCUGCCAUUGUUACAAUUUUAUUUUCCCCAGGAGCUCAGAGUCCCACCUUCAUUCUUUUUGUUUAAUGCUUAAGCUUGCCUGUCCACCUAUGGAAGACUAGAAUGAGCAAAGACCAUGUAUUCAAUGAUCUGUAAAUCUAACAGGAAACAAUAUAAUAAAUAUAUUGUGUUUGCUAACCAAA
rnacentral:lncRNA from 1 species